AGCGCCGGACGGGGCAGCCGGCGGCGGGUUGCAGUGCAGGGCACUGUCCAAGAGCCGCCUGGACCCUUGGGACCCGCUGCUUGCGGGUCGUCGUGCUUUGUCGUCUCUUAGCCUGGCUGCUUCCUAGGGCACAGUUAAAACGGUAUGGAGCGCCAUUCAGAGCUUAUUGGAUGCGCUGUGAAGACCCAGCUUCUCAGACAAGGGCCCACGGGGACUGACAGUUUGACAUCAGAAAUAUAAUCGCACGCAGGCUACUUUGAAUGGCUGGCUGGACCGCGCUUAAGGGCUUCAAGUGCUGAGGAUUGAACCCAGUGCCUCACACAUGCUAGGUAAUCGCGCUGUCACUGAGCUACAACCCCAGCCCGGCUUUUAUUAUUUUUAAUUUAAGCUGAAGAAUUCAUUACAAGGCUCGUGGAAGAAAACUCACAUGCUGAUUCACUGUUACUUCUUUCUCCUCGUCCUCCUAUCCAUUGCCUAAGUUUGAUUCACUCUUCAAGAUCCAGCAUGCACUACCUUGGAUCUGUAGUUGUCUUUCUGUGUGUUGUGCGUGCUGUCUGGACAACUUGAUUGUAAGUUGAGAAAAGAAACUUGUUUUACACAUCCCCCGAUGCCUAGUGUAAUGCAUUAUAUGAAAUAGAUAACUGAAAACUAGGUUGAUAUGUUGAAUGUCUUCACAGUUUUGCCUGGGUCUGCUUGGUACUUCCUUUACAAAGUCAAAAUCAGUAUAAAUAAAUAUAUCUCAAGCAUUUCACACUGAGGGGACAAGCUAAUGCCAAGUUCAUAAGGCUCUUGAGAAUGACUGUUCAAGAGACAAAGACCACCAGCGUGGCCAAAGCAUGGUAGAUGAGGGAAAUGACAGAAAGUCAUGGGAAUGAAUGAGGUCACCAGAGAAGAUACAUGGAGAAAAUGACCUAAGACAGAACCCUGGGGAGUCAAAAGCCAAUAAAAGAAAAUGCCAGUAAGUGGCUAAGAGGGGGCAGUGGUGAGUGGCAUCAUAUAAGACAAAAAAGAGGAACAGCCAGUUAUGCCAAUGCCCUGAGGUCAUGGUUGAUAAAGUGACCAGUGGGCUUAACGACAUGGAGGUCAGUCCCUGUGACUGAAGAAGAGAAAUGCAAGGUGGAGAAGUGGAAGAAAGGGUGAGCAAAAAUAUUUCAAGAAAUUUUGCUAUUUCGAGAACAAAGAAACAACGUCACUGAGAAAUCACUGAGGUAAAGGGUAGAUUUUAGUUUUCUUGUGUUUAAAGAGAAAAAAUACACAAUGGUAGCUUUUUGAUUUUGUUCAUGAGUCACAGUAAGAACUACAUAAUAAUUAUGUUUAUAAUUAAAAUUAUAGAAUAAAAAAUUCCACAAAACAA